UCAAGGACAUCGCAACUUUGGCCUCAAGUAUUACAAGGUCCUGACCCAUGCAUGUUCGAGGACCCCAUCCAAAGGGAAAGAAAGUUGGGUUGAAGUUUUGAUGCUUUAGAAACUCCAUUGCUGAAUCUUCAUGGUUUAAAUUCAUUCGCAUCCUCACCCCAUAUCUCACGAUCGCGGUGGAUAACAACCCCUGGUGCAUUACACCCGCUGUAACGGAGUAUAUUGACGAUUGAGGCCUUUGGAAGGGAGAUUCCCUUAGAACAACCGCAGAAUUUCGGCGAUUCAGGAAUUUGGGACUCCACAACCAAGCUACUCCCAAAUGCUGUUCGAGAAAUCACAUCAGCAGCCAUUUGUUGUAGAUAAGGCAUUACAUCUAGGUCACACGAUCCCUCCUCAGAGACCAUGCUUUCCCAUUUGCUAACCAUGUCGUAGCAGCUAUGAUAGAAUGCUGGUACCAUACCCUGUAAGCCAAUUUAAGGAUUGAUUAUCUUUCUGUGUUUGGCCCAUUUUGCUCCUUCAUGGUUUACAAGUCCCCCUGCAAACAACUUGACAAGGGGAUUCAUAGAUGGCUUUUGGAUAUCAUUGAACAAUGCAAAC